CCAUCCACAACGCGGAAGUCAACAGUAUUUGGAAAGGCGAUUGGCAGCAAAUGCGGAUGCCAGAAUGCCUGGAUGAAUAAAUGAGUCAGUCAUCUGCACAGCAUCAAUGGAAAAAGAGAAGCAAUGAGGAAGAAGAGAAGAGUAACAGUGAGUGAAACUGAAGUCCAGCUUGAGAUACCCGGAUGAGUACUCCAGGUUGACAGUCUGGAAGGACCCCUCCAGAUUUCAGAAGUGAUUUUCAGACAGCGAUGAGGAGAGUCCUGUUAUUUCAAUGGGGGCCUACCGAGAAGUUGUAUGCCAAGUGACACUGGGACACACUCACAAAGGCUGGUCUGGCUAAUGUGAGAAGACCAACCAAUGCCAAGUCGGAGUGGGACCCUUCAAGGAUGUUGAAGAAAUUGUUGUCUUUGGCCAUGUGGUAAUCACUUGAAAGGAAUGAUGUUUGGGAUUACUUGUCUAUAAAUGUGGACCCAAACACCAAAUAGAAUGUUCACAAUUCUACUAACACAAUGCAACAGGGAUAGAGCC